rnacentral:rRNA from 1 species
CCUACGGGUGGCAGCAGUGGGGAAUAUUGCACAAUGGGAGAAACCCUGAUGCAGCAACGCCGCGUGAGUGAAGAAGUAUUUCGGUAUGUAAAGCUCUAUCAGCAGGGAAGAAAAUGACGGUACCUGACUAAGAAGCCCCGGAUAACUACGAGCCAGCAGCGGCGGUAAUACGUCGGGGGCAAGCGUUAUCCGGAUUUACUGGGUGUAAAGGGAGGGUAGGUGGCAUGGUAAGCCAGAAGUGAAAACCCAGGGGUCAACCCUGUGGAUUGCUUUUGGAACUAUCCAGCUAGAGUGCUGGAGGGGGAAGCGGAAUGCCUAGGGUAGCGGUGAAAUGCGUAGAUAUUAGGAGGAACACCGGUGGCGAAGGCGGCUUACUGGACAGAAACUGACACUGAGGCUCGAAAGCGUGGGGAGCAAACAGGAUUAGAUACCCCGGGAGUC